rnacentral:RNase_P_RNA from 1 species
GGCAGAGAGAGCUCGGCUCCCGUCGGUCCCCUCGGACCGAUGAGGAAAGUCCCCCCACCGUCCGGACAGGCGACCCGGCGCAAGCCGGGAGUCGGAGACGGCUGGCUCUGGAACAGAAACGAAACCCCUCGGCCCGACCGAUGAGGCGCGGGCGGCGACCGCCGCCCGGUGCGAGCGGGGUGACCCGAACGCACGCGACCCGACCCGUGAGGGAAGGAAGCGAACCCGUCGAGGGCCGCGCGGCCGCAACGCGGCCGCGGAAUGCGACCGGGCGACUCGCCCGGUCGCCGACGGCCGAGAACGGAUGGAACGGCGAAUCCUCGCCGGUGCAAGGCCGCGCCGCAAAGGUAGUCCGGACAGGGCGCGGCUGCUCAGCCGAAUGCCGAGCCGAACAGAAGGGGGCUUACUCCUCUCAGCC